rnacentral:rRNA from 1 species
CAACGCGAAGAACCUUACCAAAUCUUGACAUCCUUUGACCGCUCUAGAGAUAGAGUUUUCCCCUUCGGGGGACAAAGUGACAGGUGGUGCAUGGUUGUCGUCAGCUCGUGUCGUGAGAUGUUGGGUUAAGUCCCGCAACGAGCGCAACCCUUAAGCUUAGUUGCCAUCAUUAAGUUGGGCACUCUAAGUUGACUGCCGGUGACAAACCGGAGGAAGGUGGGGAUGACGUCAAAUCAUCAUGCCCCUUAUGAUUUGGGCUACACACGUGCUACAAUGGACAAUACAAAGGGCAGCUAAACCGCGAGGUCAAGCAAAUCCCAUAAAGUUGUUCUCAGUUCGGAUUGUAGUCUGCAACUCGACUACAUGAAGCUGGAAUCGCUAGUAAUCGUAGAUCAGCAUGCUACGGUGAAUACGUUCCCGGGUCUUGUACACACCGCCCGUCACACCACGAGAGUUUGUAACACCCGAAGCCGGUGGAGUAACCAUUUAUGGAGCUAGCCGUCGAAGGUGGGACAAAUGAUUGGGGUGAAGUCGUAAC